rnacentral:rRNA from 1 species
CCUACGGGUGGCAGCAGUCGAGAAUUUUUCACAAUGGGGGAAACCCUGAUGGAGCGACGCCGCGUGGGGGAUGAAAGACUUUGGUCUGUAAACCCCUGUCAUCUGUGAUCAAUGUGCGGAUUUUAAUAAACUCCAGCACUGAUAGUAGCAGAAGAGGAAGAGACGGCUAACUCUGUGCCAGCAGCCGCGGUAAUACAGAGGUCUCAAGCGUUGUUCGGAUUUACUGGGCGUAAAGGGUGUGUAGGUGGAUAAAAUAGUUAAAUGUGAAAUCUUAAAGCCUAACUUUAAAACUGCUUUUAAUACUUUUUAUCUAGAGUAACAGAGGGGAAAUUGGAAUUCUCGGUGUAGCAGUGAAAUGCGUAGAUAUCGAGAGGAACACCAGUGGCGAAGGCGAAUUUCUGGCUGUUUACUGACACUGAGGCACGAAAGCUAAGGGAGCAAACGGGAUUAGAUACCCUAGUAGUC